rnacentral:miRNA from 1 species
GCGGGCGGCCCCGCGGUGCAUUGCUGUUGCGUUGCACGUGUGUGCGGGUGCAGUGCCUCUGCAGUGCAGCCCGGAGCCGGCCCCUGGCGCCGC